CCUACGGGUGGCAGCAGUAGGGAAUCUUUCACAAUGGGCGAAAGCCUGAAGGAGCCACGCCGCGUGCAGGAUGAAGGCCUUACGGUUAUAAAAUGCCUUUUUAAGGGAGAAAUCUGAUGGUAACUUAUGAAUAAGGAUCGUCUACCUACGUGCCAGCAGCCGCGGUCAUACGUAGGAUCCGAGCAUUAUCCGGAGUGACUGGGUGUAAAGAGUUGCGUAGGUGGCAUAAUAAGUAGCUAGUGAAAUGUGGUGGCUCAAACAUUCAGACUAUUAGCUAAACUGUUAAGCUCGAGACCGUGAGGGGUAACUGGAAUUUGUAGUGUAGGAGUGAAAUGCGUAGAUAUUAGAAGGAACACCAAUAGCGUAGGCAGGUUACUGGGACGGUACUGACACUGAGGCACGAAAGCGUAGGGAGCAAACGGGAUUAGAUACCCUAGUAGUC
rnacentral:rRNA from 1 species